rnacentral:rRNA from 1 species
CCUACGGGAGGCAGCAGUGAGGAAUAUUGGUCAAUGGACGAGAGUCUGAACCAGCCAAGUAGCGUGAAGGAUGACUGCCCUCUGGGUUGUAAACUUCUUUUAUAUGGGAAUAAAAUGUUCCACGUGUGUGAUUGUGUAUGUACCAUAUCAAUCAGGAUAGGCUAACUCCGGGCCAGCAGCCGCGGUAAUACUGAGGAUCCGAGCGUUAUCCGGAUUUAUUGGGUUUAAAGGGUGCGCAGGCGGAUUUUUAAGUCAGCGGUAAAAUCGUGGGGCUAAACCCCCUCCAGCCGUUGAAACUGGGGAUCUGGAGUGUGCGAGAGGUAUGCGGAAUGCGUGGUGUAGCGGUGAAAUGCAUAGAUAUCACGCAGAACCCCGAUUGCGAAGGCAGCAUACCGGUGCACAACUGACGCUCAGGCACGAAAGCGUGGGUAUCGAACAGGAUUAGAUACCCCUGUAGUC